rnacentral:rRNA from 1 species
AUGCAACCACUGGUAGAUGAGUUGAAAGAAGCUUGGGUGAACGGGAUACGGACAUACGACGCUGCUAGCAAAAAGAACUUCACAAUGCAUGUUUGGUACCAGUACUCAUUUCAUGACUUACCGGCGUAUUCACUUUUCAUGGGGUGGUCUGUGCAUGGGGGGUUCCCAUGCCCAAGGUGCAAGGCAAGCAUGAAGUGCCGUUGGUUGCAGCAUGGUCGCAAGUAUUCUUGCUUCGAUUUUCAUAGACAACAUUUGCGUCUUGACCAUCCAUUCAGAAAAGACAAGAAGAACUUCAUGAAAGGUGAAGUCGUUGAACACUCGGCACCACCUGAGAUGACAGGUGAACAAAUUCGUGAUCAACUAAAUGCUCUCCAGCCUGAUCCCAAACAUCCAGGGUAUUUCUUGGGAUAUAACGAAGAACACGCGUGGACUCAUAAGCCAUGCUUAUGGGAUCUCCCCUACUUCCACCAGCUCGAGCUUCCACAUAAUAUUGAUGUAAUGCACACUGAAAAGAAUAUCGCCGAGGCCAUUUUUGGCACAUUGUUCAACAUUGCUGAGAAGACGAAGGAUAAUACUAAGGCUAGACUUGAUGUAAUGAAGCUAUGUCAUAGACCCGAACAAAACUUGCGACAACCCGAGGGCAAGAAAAACUGGAGGACGCCAAAGGCGAGGUUUGUUCUUACUAGGGAACAAAAGAAGGAGAUACUCAUGUGGUUCAAAACUUUGUUGUUCCCUGAUGGGUAUGCAGCGAACCUUAUGAGGGCAGUGAAUCUUGAUAAAUUGAAGCUCAACGGGAUGAAGAGUCAUGAUUGGCACAUAUGGCUUGAGCGGUUAAUGCCGGUGAUGAUUCGAGGCUAUAUCCCUGAGGAUGAUUGGGAAGUAUUGGCAGAGCUUAGCUAUUUCUUCCGUGUUCUUUGUGCUAAAGAAGUAUCUCCUACUGUGAUAGAUGAGAUGGAAGAAUGGGCCACCGAGUUGCUCUGCAAGCUAGAGAAGAUCUUUCCACCAGGAUUCUUUAAUCCGAUGGAACAUAUGAUUUUACACCUCCCUUCCGAGGCAAGAAUGGGUGGCCCUGUGCAGAAUCGUUGGUGCUAUGGACUUGAGAGAAUGCAGAAGACUCUUCGAGCUAAAUGUAGAAAUAAAUGUAGAAUUGAAGCCUCCAUAGCCGAGGCAUUCUUGGCAGAGGAGAUUACAAACUUCACGACAUCACGCUAUGCGGCCAAUAUUCCAAGCUUGCAUAAUGCAAAGUCUCGAUACAAUACUGGCGACCCUAAACAUGAAUCCAAGCUCAGCCUCUUCAAAGGGCAACUCGGACCUGUGGGUGCUUCUGGUUCAAAGCAUUUGGAUCUGAAAGAGUGGAAAUCACUUACGUUGUAUAUCCUCACCAACCUUCAAGAAGUGCGGCCGUACAUUGAGUAA